GAUGAACGCUGGCGGCGUGCCUAAUACAUGCAAGUCGAGCGAACAGAUGAGGAGCUUGCUCCUCUGACGUUAGCGGCGGACGGGUGAGUAACACGUGGAUAACCUACCUAUAAGACUGGGAUAACUUCGGGAAACCGGAGCUAAUACCGGAUAAUAUAUUGAACCGCAUGGUUCAAUAGUGAAAGACGGUUUUGCUGUCACUUAUAGAUGGAUCCGCGCCGCAUUAGCUAGUUGGUAAGGUAACGGCUUACCAAGGCAACGAUGCGUAGCCGACCUGAGAGGGUGAUGGGCCACACUGGAACUGAGACACGGUCCAGACUCCUACGGGAGGCAGCAGUAGGGAAUCUUCCGCAAUGGGCGAAAGCCUGACGGAGCAACGCCGCGUGAGUGAUGAAGGUUUUCGGAUCGUAAAACUCUGUUAUUAGGGAAGAACAAAUGUGUAAGUAACUAUGCACGUCUUGACGGUACCUAAUCAGAAAGCCACGGCUAACUACGUG
rnacentral:rRNA from 1 species